GAUGAACGCUGGCGGCGUGCCUAAUACAUGCAAGUCGAGCGAACAGAUGAGGAGCUUGCUCCUCUGACGUUAGCGGCGGACGGGUGAGUAACACGUGGAUAACCUACCUAUAAGACUGGGAUAACUUCGGGAAACCGGAGCUAAUACCGGAUAAUAUUUUGAACCGCAUGGUUCAAUAGUGAAAGACGGUUUUGCUGUCACUUAUAGAUGGAUCCGCGCCGCAUUAGCUAGUUGGUAAGGUAACGGCUUACCAAGGCAACGAUGCGUAGCCGACCUGAGAGGGUGAUCGGCCACACUGGAACUGAGACACGGUCCAGACUCCUACGGGAGGCAGCAGUAGGGAAUCUUCCGCAAUGGGCGAAAGCCUGACGGAGCAACGCCGCGUGAGUGAUGAAGGUCUUCGGAUCGUAAAACUCCGUUAUUAGGGAAGAACAAAUGUGUAAGUAACUAUGCACGUCUUGACGGUACCUAAUCAGAAAGCCACGGCUAACUACGU
rnacentral:rRNA from 1 species